rnacentral:rRNA from 1 species
GAGGAAUAUUGGGCAAUGCCCGCAAGGGUGACCCAGCAACGCCGCGUGGAGGAUGAAUGUCGUAAGAUUGUAAACUCCUGUUAGAGGGGAAGAAUAGUACCGGUUGGACCGGUAUAUGACUGUACCCUCAGAGAAAGCCCCGGCUAACUACGUGCCAGCAGCCGCGGUAAUACGUAGGGGGCAAGCGUUGUCCGGAUUUACUGGGUGUAAAGGGCGCGCAGGCGGGAUAAAAAGUCAGUGGUGAAAUCCUACAGCUUAACUGUAGAACUGCCUUUGAUACUUUUAUUCUUGAGUUCGGGAGAGAGAGACGGAAUUCCAGGUGUAGUGGUGAAAUACGUAGAUAUCUGGAAGAACACCAGUUGCGAAGGCGGUCUCUUGGUCCGACACUGACGCUGAGGCGCGAAAGCGUGGGGAGCAA